GAUCCUGGCUCAGAUUGAACGCUGGCGGCAGGCUUAACACAUGCAAGUCGAGCGGGGAAGAGUAGCUUGCUACUUAACCUAGCGGCGGACGGGUGAGUAAUGCUUAGGAAUCUGCCUAUUAGUGGGGGACAACAUCUCGAAAGGGAUGCUAAUACCGCAUACGUCCUACGGGAGAAAGCAGGGGACCUUCGGGCCUUGCGCUAAUAGAUGAGCCUAAGUCGGAUUAGCUAGUUGGUGGGGUAAAGGCCU
rnacentral:rRNA from 1 species